GAUCUGGCUGUCAUCAACAGAAGCAGUAUGCUGUCACAGAGAGAGCUUUAGUGUCAGACAGCCUCCUGUUUGAUGGUAACUCCACUCAAAUCAAAGUUGGAAAACUUGGGUAUGCUGCACACUCUCCUUUAGCUUUUCAUUUCCUCUAAAGUUGGGGCAACAGUAGCUGUCUUGCAAGGCUUAUAGGGAGUAGAGGCCCAGUUUGGUGCUGGCACAGAGAAGUUCUCAGUGAAAGCGAUCACUAUCAGCCCCGGCUGAAAUGAUGCGAUUUGGGAUGCUGAGAGCCCAUGGGGACCUUUCUGGUGAGAGUCUGGUCAGGUUCACGCUGUUCUGAGUGGCUAAGUCAUUAUGGAGAAGAACUGAGAGGGCUUUGUUCUUUACUAAGGGAGAGAAGACGAGCAAGUCAGAUCCCUAUCUUAAAUGCAGGAAAACAUUCAGACCCAGGAAAAGAGAAUCUGAAACCACAGCACUUCCCCAAAUGUACCCUGGGGAGAACGUCCACCCACUGCUCAAAGCAGAAACUGUGUCCUCCAAGCGCAGGUGGAGCCCCAUUGGUACAACUUGUCCAAGCUCAGCUCUGCAACCCGCUUCUAUUGAGAUUUCCCUCAAGCAAAAAUAAAGAUGGAAAGAGCUGCCGAGAACAUACAGUCAGGGGCUGCUCUCAUUGGCCACUCUCAGGCUGGCCCAUGUCUUCCUCUAGCUCCUCUUAGUGCCCUGAGGGCCCGUGCUGAGCCUCAGGAUGACCGAUCAAACUGUGACAGGGAAAAUGUGAGAUUCAGCACGGCUUCUCCUUCGCCAGAGGGAAGGAAGGGAGCGAGGCGCAGCGUGAGGGGACUUACUACAUCUCAGAAGUCCUAUCAGACCCUGUGAGUGAAGCUGGCUUACCCAGGGGCAGCCCCAUACUCCAAGCUGCUCUGUCAUAGCUGAGUCGCCGGUCUAUCUGAGGUCUCUGCAGACCAUGACCACCAGUGAACUUGGCUGCCUCCUACUCUCCUGGCACCACCGAGUGACAGACACCGUGUUGCCUCCUGACUCUUCAGAGCAUGCUGUAUGUCAUCCAUCCACCUUGCCAUGAAUUGAGAAGCCUUCUGAGCAUCUGAGUCACAGGAAGUCACUUGAAUCAUCGGAUAACGCUUUGCUAAAUCACUCUGGCAGUGCGCCCCAGACUUGGGGCAAACAGAUUAUGGGGUGUUUGUUAGUGACCUCCUGGGGGGUCGACUGGCUGUUCUUUCCUGGAUCUGCUGACUCAAAAGGGUAGCAUUUUGACGGUCUGGUAACUACAGUACUACACAGUUCUGAAGGGGCAGAAGGAGAUAACCUAUAGAAAACCAUUAAGACAAAUAAAUUUUAUCUGUGGGGAUACAAUUGAUUUCUAUCCCGUGGAAAAGAUAGCCCCAUAAAAUAUAGUCUGUCAUCUUAUACAAUACUAUUUUUCAUCUACUUGUGAAUUAAUUUCAGCAUUUCUGCCUAUAUAUGUUACAAACUCCUCUUUGAAUGGGCCAUAACCUUGUGCUGACUUCUUCACAAGUGAAUAAAGUAAAUAAAAUAUUUAAUGUGUUGAUUUUA